UAUAUAUCGCCGAUCCUUUCAUUUAUUAAGCACAUGCGGAAGCAAUUAAAAUCCCCAGACAAUAAAACGAUGGGAUAGAAAAGCAUGGCCAUAUUUUUCAUAUUGAAAUUUAUAACCAAACUUUUAUACAAAACACAAAUCACUUCAUAACUAUUCACAUCAAAAUGGAGAUCUCAAAAGAAGAUAGGAUCUCAAUUCAUCCAAGCCAUACGCAAGGCCCUCCUCGGGAUUAUCUUCUUCUCCCAAAAAUCUUUCUCCUUAAGUUUCAUCGCAGAGUACUCCUUCUCAGAUUCCUCCUCAGCUCCUCAACGGGGUCCUGAAAUGUUUUCCCCAAACUGAGAUGAGACUACGUCUCAGCGAGUUCUACCCCCACUAAGCCCGAUUAGUAAACCAUUAUACUAUAGGCGGCCUAUACACGCACAGGGCAGAAGACGUACCUUGGCCUCAGAUCCCACCUGCAAGUCAGUACUAUUCACAAUAGGCACUCAUGUCAUGCCCCGACCCUCAGGCACGCACACAUCCCUUACUUUUGGUCGAUUUUAAAAUGCGAUAUCCCAGGACUAUGUAUCGCCGACCCUUUCUUUUAUAUAUGCACAUGCGGAAGCAGUUAUAAUUCCCCAGACAAUAAAACAAUGGGAUAGAAAAGCAGGCCAUACAUUUUUCAUACUGAAAAUUCACAACUACAACUUUUUACAUGCAAACAAGGUCUGACAAGACAGGAUAGGAUUUCGGUCCUCAUUCGGGUCGUACUCGAUGUCAUACUCGGGUUCCUCCACGUACUCCUCUUUGGGUUCCUCAACAGGGAUCUCCUCAUCAGAUUCAUGCUCCUUAGGCUCCUCAUCCAGGUCCUGAAAUGGUUAUUCAAUAACCACUGAGACCACGUCUCAGCAAGUUCUACUUCCUAAGACCCGAUUAGUAAACUAAUACACCUUAGGGCUGCCUACGCACAACAUGAGUUAGAAGACUUACCUUGGCCUCAGAUUUCACCUACAUAUUAGUACAGAUCAAAUAGGCACACAAGCAAUCACAUCACAGAUCGAAGCAUCGAUCUAAUCGACUUAGUCGAUUUCACAUUAGGAAGACCACUCGCAAUCAUCUCCCUUCAAUCAUUCAAUUCACAACAUCAAACCAAGGCAAUGAAUCACAUCAAGACACUCUCAGAUCGAAUCAUCGAUCAAUCGACCGAGUCGAUUACAUGUCAUCACGACCCACACUUGGUCGGCACAUUCCAUACUAUCUAUAAAGUCCUAUCAAAUCAAGACUACUCACCCAAAGCUGACAAUUAGAUAGUAUAACUCGCUCGAAGCUGAUAAUAAAGUAUACUGCUCACCCAAAGCUGACAUAUCGCCCGUAGGUCGAUAUAGUAUACUGGUAUACUGCUCACCCAAAGCUGACAUAUCGCCCGAAGGCCGAUAUAGUAUACCAUAUGCUCACCCAAAGCUGAUAAUAAAGUAUACUGCUCACCCAAAGCUGACAUAUCGCCCGUAGGUCGAUAUAGUAUACUGGUAUAUUGCUCACCCAAAGCUGACAUAUCGCCCGAAGGUCGAUAUAGUAUACCUCCAAUUCUCACCAGAAGCUACCAACCAUACCUUUAUAGUAUGCCGGAAUAAUCAUUUAAUCAAAUCACCAUUUUUAUCCUUUCUAAUAAAAAUACCCGUGCGUGGGCACACGGUCGGUCUUAGCCAAAAUAAUAUAAUUUCCUUUCCACAAAUCCCACCAUUAUCUGUAGUCCACCAAAACACUUUUGGUGCUGUUAACCGACACCCGGUUAUUUUCCAAAUAUUAAUCAAAGAUUAUUCCAUUAAAGAAUAAUUCCCAAUUUCACAAAUAAUUCAAUUCAGCACAAAAUAAAGCUCAAUUAAAUAAAUGAACUGCGCCACGACAAUCAGAACCAAAUUCCGGUCGCUGGCCAUCCAAGUUGAAUUUUCGAAAAAUAAAUAAUUAAACAAUUAAUUUCGAAAAUUAAAUAAAUACAUACAAUAAAUUUGAUUUAGCAUAAUAUAAAGCUCAAUUAAAUAAACGGACUGCACUACGAUCAUCAGCAUAAAAUUUCGGUUCCGGACCAUCUCAGUUGAAUUUUCGGAAAAUAAAUAAUUAUUUAAUUUAAUUCCGAAAAUUAAUAUUUAAAAUGCCAAAAAUCUCACUUAUGCCCGAAUUGCUUAAUUAACACCCGAUAAGGGUCGGGAAAAAUCCCACGAAGCAUCCAAUAAAUACUACAAGCAAUUCUCUGUCUAAUUACACUAAUCACACAACUAAUAUGCAAAGCAAUUAACUAAUAAUUACUAAUCAAUUCUAAUCUAACAACCUAAUUACACUUAAUUAACACUAAUCAACAUUUAAGUAUAAUUAGCAAACUAAGAAGGCAUUAGUGAGUAAAACUCACUCAAAACGACGGGCUCGACGCGAGGAUCGGCUUUCCUCAAAGCGGGCCGAGCAUCCGGGCUCGGGAAGGCGGCCAAAACUGGCCAAAACCUCACUGCAAACCCAUUUUCUGUCUUCUCUGUUUGCUGCUGAUUGGGGGCGGAUCCAGGCUCGGAUUGAAGCAAUAGCAGACCUAGAUGGACGGAGGGGCCGAACCGAACCUAGGCGGGGCUUCACGGUGGCCGGAGGUGGGGUGGACGACUCCGGUGAAGCUCCACCAGAUCUGAAACAUUGCUGGAACAGAGGGCUGAGUGAGGGGGAGGCCGAGGUAGGCGGAGCACGGGACAGCAACUCGGUGAUGGUGGUGGACGGCGGAACGGCAGCGACAACGGAACAGCGGUGGCGUGCGACGACGGUGGCAAGGGGCGCCGAUGGGCAGAGCUGCUGCUGCUGCGUUCGAACGAGAGGGGCGGAAGAGAGGGCGUGCGGUGAGGUACGGCCAACCGCGGAGCAGCAACGGCGGCUCCGGCUUCGGUGGGUGACAACGGCGGCGAGAGGCGGCGACGGCAGCUGCUUCUACUUCGCUGGUCUUCCGUUGCUGCUGAAGAAGAAAGCCAAAGAAAAGAGAAGAAGAUGGAGAUGCUCGACGGAGGAAGAGGGGAAACCGGUUUUCUCCUCUUCUCUCUCUCUCUCUCUCUCUCUCUCUCUCUCUCUCUCUCUCUGGCCCCACUACCAGCUACCUUCCACUUUUCAUUUCCAAGCCCUAAAUUGCCCCUUCUAGAAGCUUUAAGGUAAUUUAAAUUUUUGGUUCUAUGGGCAUACGAAUUUUGAAACAAUUGGCUUCCAUUAAUCACUUGAUUUACUUUAAAUCCAUCUCAAUUGGCCUCAAUGCUUCCAUUAAAUAUUCUCCUCAUCCAAUAGCUCAUGUCGCAUCUCAAUUUUGUAUUCCAUUUUAAUCCCCGACUCCAAGUGCAUAGAAAUGACCUGAUUAAUUCAAUUGAAAUUACUACCGAAUAUUUUGGAUGUCACAACUCAAGCAAUCAUAUCACCGAUCGAAGCAUCGAUCAAAUCGACCUAGUUGAUUACAAGCCAAUAAGACCACUCACGGUCAUUUCCAUUCAGUCAAUCAAUUCACAACAUCAAAUCAAGACAAUGAUCAAUCACACUGAAUCACACUCAGAUCUAAUCAUCGAUCAAUCGACCUAGUCGAUUACAAGUCAGUUGAAUCAUUUCUAGGUCAUUUACUCCAUCCCACAUAAUCUCAAAUAGUAGACUUAGUCACAGAGCUCCAUCAAUGCUCUCGGGCGCCAUUUUCACCAAGGUGACAUGAGUAACAGACGGUCUACGUGCGUUCUUUAAGGCGCCGUUUUCGCACAGUGAUAUUCCUCAUCACCGAAUCACGCCCAUCAUAGGUCACAAAUCACUAACAGUCUACGUGCGUUCUUUAAGGCGCCGUUUUCGCACAGUGAUGUCCUUCAUCACCGAACCACGCCUGUCACGAUUCAUAGGUAGUCUACGUGCGUUCUUUAAGGUACCGUUUUCGCACAGUGAUAUCCUUAAUCACCGAACCACACCUACCACAAGUCAUAGACAGUCUACGUGCGUUCUUUAAGGCGCCGUUUUCGCACAAUGAUGUACUUUAUCACCGAACCACGCCUGUCUAUACUUCGUACUUGAUCGGUCUCAACCAAUAAAAUUCUCAGUUAGCUCUCAUCGCUCUCUCCACUUACAGCUCAACAAGGUAUUACAAUUGCUAACUAGCCAUACUCGGCCAUCUACCAAUCAAUAAUUCAAUUUCACUCAAUUUCAAUCAAUUUAGGGUAAAUCCCUAAAAUAUCACAAUUUAUUUAAUUUCAUACAACGUAGAGCUCAAAUAAAUAAAUGGACUACGCCACGACAAUCAGCACGAGAUUUCGGUCGUCGGUCAUCAAAAUCUUAAUUUCCGAAAAUUAAUUAAUUAAUUAAUUAAUUUCGAAAAUUAAUUAAUAAUUAUUAAAAAAUUCAAUUUAGCACAAAAUAAAGCCCAAUUAAAUAAACGGACUUCACCACGGUCAUCAACAUAAUAUUUCGGUUCCGGACCAUCUCAAUUGAAUUUUCGGAAAAUAAAUAAUUAUUUAAUUUAAUUCCGAAAAUUAAUAUUUAAAUACUAAAAAUUCCACUUAGGCCCGAAAAGCCUAAUUGAAGCCCACUAAGGGUCGGGAAAAAUCCCGAGGCACUUCCAAUAAAUAGUAGACCACGUCUACUUACUAAUUGCGCGAUCAAUUUAUCUAAAUCACAUCACAAUUGACUAAUAAUUGCUAAUUUAUUCUAAUCUAACAACCUAAACAUAAUUAAUUAAAACUAAACCAACCUUAAGCAUAAUUAGCCAACUAAUCCGGGAUUAGUGAGAUUACUCACCAAAUCACGCGCAAAUCGGAUCAAUCCGACGGGGGCGACGGGAGGAACGAUUCUUCCCAAAGCACGGCUCGGGUUCGGGGCCCGAAAACGGCCCAAAAGCGGGCCCCGAACCAGCUGGAAACCCAUUUUGUGGGUUGCGGUUCAAAGCUUGCCGGAGCUAAUCCGGCGGCUAGGGCGAGGAGGGGAGGCCGGCGGAGGGCGAGGGAAACGUCGGGGAGGUCCGGCGGUGCUGGGCGGUGGCUGGAGGAGGCUGCACGGGGCGGAACCGAGCUGAACAGGGACCGAACAGGGCUGUCUCGCGCGGGGAAGGGGCGCCUGGGCGGAGGAGAGGGCAGGCGGCGGACGGCGGCGAGCGGCGGACGCGGGGCGUGCGAGCGCGGGCAGCGGGACGGGCGGCGACAGCAGCCGCGGCGAGCUGCUGCUUCUGCUCCUGGUUCAGUUCGUUCGACGCACAGGGAGGAAGAAGAAGAAGAAAGAGAGAGAGAGAGAGAGAGAGAGAGAGAGAGAGAGAAAAGAUAAGGCUUGACCGGUCAAAAGGGAAGAGAGAGGGCAAG
rnacentral:lncRNA from 1 species